rnacentral:rRNA from 1 species
UACGGAGGGUGCGAGCGUUAUUCGGAAUUACUGGGCGUAAAGGGCACGUAGGCGGACUUGUAAGUAAGAUGUGAAAUCCCAGGGCUCAACCUGGGAAUAGCAUUUUAUACUGGGAGUCUUGAGUACUCUAGAGGUGGGUAGAAUUCCACGUGUAGAGGUGAAAUGCGUAGAGAUCUGGGAGAAUACCAAAGGCGAAGGCAGCCCAUUGGG